UACGUAGGGAGCAAGCGUUAUCCGGAAUUAUUGGGCGUAAAGGGUGCGUAGGUGGUUACCUAAGCGCAAGGUUUAAUCUUGAGGCUCAACCUCAUUCUGCCUUGCGAACUGGGCUACUUGAGUGCUGGAGGGGAAAGCGGAAUUCCCAGUGUAGCGGUGGAAUGCGUAGAUAUUGGGAAGAGCACCGGUGGCGAAGGCGGCUUUCUGGACAGUAACUGACGCUGAGGCACGAAAGCGUGGGGAGCAAACA
rnacentral:rRNA from 1 species